AGCAAGUGUUCAUUAGCAGCAAAACCAGCCAGUUUUUGUUCUCAUAUGAUUCAGGAGCUCAAGUGACUCCUCUGAAACUCUGGCAUAUAUCACAGACAAAAUUGGGUCAGAAGAGAGCACAGAGGUACUGAACUGAAAAGAGAUAAAUUCAUCUUUAGAAGAAAAAAGGAAGUCUCGAACUGCAAACUUGGGUUUAAUUUGUCUCCUCCACGUAAGGCACUGAUACACAUCUCUGGAGAGUACUUUCAGGCAGCCUGA
rnacentral:lncRNA from 1 species